rnacentral:rRNA from 1 species
AACGAACGCUGGCGGCGGGCUUAACACAUGCGAGUCGAACGCAUCCUUCAGGGUGAGUGGCAGACGGGUGAGUAACGCGUGGGAACGUGCCCUUCAGUUCGGGAUAACCCAGGGAAACUUGGGCUAAUACCGGAUACGUGCGAGAGCAGAAAGAUUUAUCGCUGAAGGAUCGGCCCGCGUCUGAUUAGCUAGUUGGUGAGGUAAUGGCUCACCAAGGCGACGAUCAGUAGCUGGUCUGAGAGGAUGAUCAGCCACAUUGGGACUGAGACACGGCCCAAACUCCUACGGGAGGCAGCAGUGGGGAAUAUUGGACAAUGGGCGCAAGCCUGAUCCAGCCAUGCCGCGUGAGUGAUGAAGGCCUUAGGGUUGUAAAGCUCUUUCGUCCGGGACGAUAAUGACGGUACCGGAAGAAGAAGCCCCGGCUAACUUCGUGCCAGCCGCCGCAGUAAAAC